GAGCAAUGUAACCCUAAGACGAACGCCAACUUCAUUUUCCUCAUGACGUAUAGGAUCAUCCAUAAACAUUGCCGUGUAAACCCUACAAACGACACCUUUGAACAUCGCGGGUGCUCCUAGUAAUGGAUCAAACAGACCAUGCCCCUGCUAAACAAUUCAUUAGUUGAAACUUUUCUAUCCCCCGUUUCGGCGAUGCGUCCAGCAUUGUUGGAGGGCGUGUGGUGGUGUGUCUUAGAGGAUUCGGUCGGUGCUGGUCUUUGAUGGAUGUGCUUAGAUCCAAUCUUUUUUGUUCCUGUUUGUAUGUCUAGAGUUUGAAUCCUUUUGAUCCACUUUUCUUUAUCGACAACGGUUGCCAUUCUGGUGCGCUGGUUAUGUAUGGCCUUACCACCAUGGCUUCUUGAAAUUUCAGUGCUUGUAGUCAUCGCUAGGUGAUCCAUGGACAUAAAUACACUUUUUAUUUUCUGUUCUGUGUACCGACGUGGCAUGAUGAAUAGAUCAAAAGUUUCUUUGAAACAAAGAGUUGAAACUUUUCUGCUUUCAGACGAUUUCGAUCGACAUUCACAAACCGAACUUGACAUGACAAAUAACUGUAUGCAGAAGACAUAGAAAUAGACAGAGAGUUGUUGCAGACUUACGACGCCGUGUGGAAAGUUAGGGCACGUGAUGAGUUUGCUCUAUAUGUGGUGAGCUCUUUCAUCUUUAUAUCUCGGGGGGUAGUUUAAUCCCUCUAUGCACUUUCAAAUCUAUUUUUUCUUAGGGAUGUACUUUCAACAUUGAUUUCUAUAGGGAUGCACUUUUAUCGUUGCUAAUGAGAAGGGGCUUUAAUUCUCCAAAAAGCCUGCUUAUACUAGUUAAUAAGCUAUAUAAACCAACCAAAUAGUCCUUUAGAGAAGACUGUAUAUAUGCAAAGUUGUACUAAAUCAGCGACACUUAUUUUGGGACGGAGGAAGUAUAUAUACCAACCAAGCACUCCCUUAGUGUUCCAUCUAACCUUUUUUCAUGAAGCAUGAAGCCUUAUUACCAUGUGUUGAUCAGGUGAGUCUAGUUUACGGCCUCCUCGAUGAUCAUCGACUUCCCUCUUUCCCAUGGCAUCUGUCGUCGACCAACGUAACCCUAAGCCUAAGAGCGACUACUUUACCUUCCCCACGACGCAUACGAAACGUACAAACAAACGACUCCUUUGAACAUCGCAGAUCCCCCUAACAUUGGGUCUGAUGGACCAUGAUCCUGCUAGACAAUUCAUCACAAAACUGAAAACUUCUUGUUUCUGGAUGGACGAAUUCGGUUGACAUUCGAAACUGAAUUUGACACGGGAGAGAAGACAGAGAGGCAGACAGGUGGGGCCCACCGAAGCGAGACACGCGCAGCUAUAGCAGCGUCAGCACGGCCGGCCUCCGCACCCACCUGUCUUCUAUUCGGAACCUUCUUCUCCAAUCUCCACCUCCCCGUCUCACAAAUUCCAAUCGCGCCGCCUCGGAGCGCCGCCGCCGCCCCGAUCUCGGUACGUGCCCGUGGAAUCUCCCUACUGAAUCCGGCCCGUCUCGCCGGAUCCGGCCGCCGCGGCGCGGGAUCCGACCGAGAAACCCCCCGCCGCCGCCCGGAUCGAGCAGAAAAACCUGAUCUUGGCCUGCUUGUUGUGAAUUCCGCAGGUGCCCGACGCUAUGCGCCCGUCCGCGGGGAACGAGAGGCCGCCGGGGCGCCCCGUGUCCGGCUUCGUGCCCGGUUUCGCCGCCGGGGCCCCUCCGCCGGCGGCGGGGGCCUCGCCGUUCGGGGCCGCUGCUCCGCUCGCGCGCCCCGGUGGUCCGGCCGGCCCCUUCGUCCCGCCGACGCAGCAGCAGGGCCCGCCGGUCCCGCAGGCGGCUGCUUCUCCUCGGGGGUCGUUCGGGGCAGCGCCGCCCGCGGCAAUGGGUGGGUACAGGGGUCCACCGCCGUCACAGGGUUCCUUCGGCGCCGGGCCGCCGCCUCCAGGGCCGUUCAGCACAGCACCGCCGCCUCAAGGUCCCUUCGGCAUGGCACCACCGGCUCAGGGCCCCUUCGGCGCCGCACCUCCUCCUUCCCAGGGACCCAUGGGCGCAGCCCCUCCACCCCAGGGACCCUUUGGCGCAGCACCUCCAACCCAGGGACCCUUUGGCGGCGCCGCACAUCCACCCCAGGGACCCUUUGGCGCCGCGCCGCCGUCUCAAGGCCCUUUUGGCGCAGCACCUCCACCUUUUCGCCCUCCGCCGUCAGCUCUCCCGCAGCCACAGUCUCCCACAGGAAACACUAUGCCUCCACCGACAUAUGUGAGGCCGCCGCCGGUACAAUCGCAGCCCCAGCCUGUGCAAGGGUAUUACCCUGGGGGCCCUAACCCACAGUUUCCGCCGGUCCGGCCAUCGUUUCAACAGCCAAUGCAGAACAUGGCACCGCCUCCGAUGGGGCCACAUUCCUCCUACAGUAACCAGCCAGCAUAUCCUACUACAGGGCCUCCGAUGGGCACGCUCCAGAGCUUAGUGGAGGACUUCCAGUCUCUGUCAGUGAGUUCUGCGCCUGGGUCGCUUGACCCAGGUGUGGAUGUAAAUGGGCUACCACGUCCGCUGUAUGGCGAUGAGGAGCCAGCUAAGGUUUUGGAGGCAUUCCCACUGAAUUGCCACCCGAGGUACUUCCGGCUGACAACCCACACUAUCCCGGCGUCCCAGUCAUUGGUCUCCAGGUGGCAUUUGCCCCUUGGGGCCGUGGUACAUCCUCUCGCAGAAGCACCUGAUGGGGUAAUGAACUCUGCUUUAUCAUUUUCUGUAUGUGUCCAAAGCACUGGAUGGUUUUGACAUGUUUGUUUCUCGAUGCUUAGGAGGAAGUGCCAGUUGUCAACUUUGGGUCGGCUGGUGUAAUCCGCUGUCGAAGAUGCAGGACAUAUAUAAAUCCUUAUGCAACAUUUGCAGAUGCUGGAAGGAAGUGGCGCUGCAAUCUUUGCACACUGCUCAAUGAUGGUAACUUUUAACUUGAAACUUGUACAGAUUCAGUGCGUAUUGAAUGGACCGAUUACCGAUGUUUCUGCCAGCCAUCACAUCAUCACUUGUUUAGAGUCAAAAUUCUUUACUAAGGUUUCUUACUACCAAUACUGUUUAAUGGUUCAUCCUCAAGAUGCGGCCUUAUUAUAAUGUUUGCAAAGCAGUGUGAGAACUCUUCUAGCAUGAUAUACUAUUGUGGUGGGUUCGGUGUUUUCAUAGAGGGAUGAAACUAUGAGUGAACUGUAACCUGAGUAAGAUAUCCAUUAAUCAUUGGCGCAUCACUGGACAUACCAGAGAGGCAGAGAUGUUUUGUCUUGAUUCCUGAUUAGCUUUGAAAAUGGUAGAGGAAAAACAUAGUUUUCUUUAGCAGUUUAGCUAUUUUAUGAUAUCUAUAGAUCUAUAGAAUAUGCUUAGUGCCACCAUUAUAUUGCUGUUUUCCAUAAGGUUAUCCCUACCAUCUUUUAAUGCAAGAAUUUUGAAUAAAAGAAUCAGAUAAUAUCUAAGAUUGGGAAAUUAAGUUUGGUUAAAUACAUGUUGCUAUACAAUUAAGUUUGGUUAAAUAUUAAGGUUGACUUGUUCUUCAAAGUGAAGCUGAAGUUGUUACAGGAAAUCCAUAUAGGAUUAUAAGAUGAAAUAGUUUAGAAGCUAUGUUACUUAUUCGGUGGAAUAUAUUUUCAUAAGCUAUAUACUUUGGGUCGGCUGGAGUAUUUGAAUUGUAAACUACAUGGCCAAUGAUCUAGGCUCAACACACUGUAAUCGAGAGAGCAUACUUCAGUGAGAGACGCAAUUUUCCUUAUGCCACCCUCAUAAAAUUUCCAAACAAGAGGAAAUGUAGGUAGAUCUUCUGCUUAGCAGGGUUAAGCAGAGCUGUUUGAGUUUUUGACUAAUUGCAUUGCAGUUAUGUAUAGAGAUAGUGCCUGAGGUAGAAAGAACUAUCAUCUGUUGUAUAAUCUUACAUUCUGUUUAGGCUGUCAUUUAUGAGAUCUGCAUGUACCAGUGCUAGUGCUGACUGAUCUCUUAGCAGUUAGCACCCUUUUCCUUGCUAAAAUUUAUAUGUUCCCUUUUCUGCAGUUCCUGGCGAGUACUUUUGUGCUCUUGAUGCUAGUGGCAGAAGAUUUGAUGCAGAUCAAAGACCAGAACUUUCUAAGGGAACAGUGGAGUUUGUUGCUCCUACUGAAUAUAUGGUUCGGCCACCAAUGCCGCCCUCGUAUUUCUUUCUUAUUGAUGUCUCAGUAUCUGCAGUUCGGAGUGGGCUGCUCGAGGUACGUUCUACAUUUCUUUUUUUGAAUUUUUGUUCUUUCUGAGGGUUAUCAUUUUUUGAGUAUUUUGGUUCCUAAGAUUCAAAUAAUUCUCAUGUGUUUUCUUCCAGGUAGUUGCGAAGACCAUCAAAUCAUGCCUUGAUGAUCUUCUAGGCUUUCCACGAACACAAAUUGGAUUCUUAACCUUCGACAGCACAUUGCACUUCCACAAUUUCAAGGUAUUUCCUGCAGCUCCUUAGUUAUUAUUUUCUUCCAAGAUUGCAUUUUGCUCUGCAACAUCAUUGCUUUAACAUACCAAACUUGAUUUCAUGAGGUACUCAAGUAACUUGUGUUCUUUGAUUGUAUCAGUCUUCUUUGAGUCAGCCUCAAAUGAUGGUGGUUGCCGAUUUGGACGAUGUUUUCCUGCCAUUGCCUGAUGAUCUCUUGGUUAAUUUGGUCGAUUCUAGACCUGUUGUCGAGUCCUUUCUCGAUAACUUGCCCAAUAUGUUUCAGGACAACGUAAAUGUAGAAUCUGCUCUUGGUCCUGCACUUAAAGCAGCAUUCAUGGUUAUGGUAAGAUCCUUAAUGGUUUAUUAUUGAAGUACACGUUGGUUGUUCUUCUGUGCCCUCUGUUACACAAUUUAAUCUCUGGACAAUUAUGUAAUCCCUGUGGUAGGGUCAAAUUGGGGGAAAGUUGCUUGUCUUCCAGAGUACAUUGCCAUCUCUUGGUAUUGGCCGUUUGAGACUUCGUGGAGAUGAUGUCCGUGCAUAUGGAACAGACAAGGAGCAUAUUCUGAGGAUACCGGAAGAUCCCUUCUAUAAACAGAUGGCUGCUGAGUUCACGAAAAAUCAGAUCGCCGUGGACAUAUUUUCUUUGAGUGACAAGUAUUGUGAUAUAGCUUCCUUAGGUGACAAUUCGUUGACAACCCCCGUUGAGAAGUUCCUAUAGUAUUUCAUAUUUGCUCUUCCUUACCGUGAUAUGUAUUAAUGUGUAGGUUCUCUGGCGAAAUAUACUGGUGGUCAGGUGUACCAUUAUCCAUCCUUCCAGGCAACUACUCACGGGGAGAAACUUAAACAUGAGCUUAGCAGAGACCUUACUCGGGAGACUGCUUGGGAAUCUGUAAUGCGUAUCAGAUGUGGAAAAGGUUUUAGAUUUUAUGCACAACUGCAUGUUUAUCAUCUUCCUAUAUAUUUCCUUGCCUUGUUAGUUUUUAUAUUCAACCUAACUCUCAUGACAUAAUGUUUUUCAGGGGUGCGUUUCACAACAUAUCAUGGUCAUUUCAUGCUAAGGUCCACAGAUUUGUUAGCUCUUCCAGCUGUUGACUCUGAUAAAGCCUUUGCGAUGCAACUGUCGCUAGAGGAGACCCUAAUGACCACGCAGACUGUUUACUUCCAAGUGGCGUUGCUGUAUCCUUUUCUGUCAAGUUGCUUGUGCCCUGCUCUCUAUCUCUUGAUUUUAGUGAGAAAGUUGAUGUUACAAAAGAUAACUCGACAAAAUGUCAAUGGAGCACCUCUCUCAAGGUUUCCUUUGCUUGUAGUUUGGUGAUAGCUAGAUCCAUGAAUAGGGUUUGUCAGUAGAGUAGAACUGGGAGAGAUCCAAGUUGUUUAUUUUUUCUUGUCAAAGCACCUCCUGCAUAUGAUGUUGGAUGUUGCCUUCUGCCAUUGGGCAUUUAUUUGUACAAUAUUAUUUACAGGUAUGAUUCUUGUGUCCUUAACCACCAUCAGAUAUACAUCAUCUUCUGGUGAACGACGUAUCAGGGUGCAUACGGCAGCUGCACCUGUGGUCACAGAUCUUGGUGAAAUGUAUCGUCAAGCAGAUACUGGUGCCAUUGUGUCAGUGUUGGCUAGAACCGGUUAGUACUAGAUCGAUGCUUUCCCCUUCAAAAAUGUCAGUAUACAUGACUGUGAUCACUUUAUAGCUUACUAAUUAUCGCUAUCCUGCAGCUGUUGAAAACUCACUGUCUGAUAAGCUGGACAGUGUUCGACAACAAUUACAGUUAAAGCUUGUGAAAAGUUUAAAGGAAUACCGGAAUCUAUAUGUUGUACAACAUCGGAUAGGAGGGAGACUGAUAUAUCCAGAAUCAUUAAGAUACUUGCCAUUAUACAUCCUGGCCCUAUGCAAAUCCCUUGCUGUGCGUGGUGGUUAUGCUGACGUCUCUCUUGAUGAACGUUGCGCUGCUGGUUUCAGUAUGAUGAUACUGCCUGCAAGAAGGCUGCUCAAUUUUAUUUAUCCAUCUCUGUACAGGCUUGAUGAAGUAUUGACAGUGGUAUGCCGUAUUUCCUUGCUACUGAACUGAUAUAGUACCUUUUAUCCAGUGCUGCUUGUAGACUUGUUACUUCCAAACUAUGCAAGUUAGAGUAAAAAUAACUUCAGUUUUCUUGUUUCUGUGAUGGAAUGAACUAGUCAGUCUGAUCAAUUACUUGGCCUUUAAUAGUUCAUAUCUUGCAACUUGCAGCCAGAUCAGGCUUGUCAUUAAGCGAAAUAAGUACAUAACAUCUAGCUGUUUUUAUUCAGUAUGUUUGAUACAAGGUUUUUUUUCCUUCAAUUUAGCCACAUUUGUAGUUAAAAUGGGCAGAAGCAGUAUAAGAAGUUAAACUCAUUAGUCUGCUUAGUUAGUUCGGUGUCACCUCAAUCCAUUUACUGAUUCCUGCUUCAAAAUUAAGUUUCUAUUAUAGUUUGUAGAGCCGAAAGUCAUAGUAAGCAUUAAUUGAAACUGAGCUGAUUUUAUUGGUAUUCGAAGUUUAACAUUUCGUUUAAUCUAGUCUACACACUGUCUUUUCUAACUGGAAUAAAUGUCAUGAUUUUCAGGAACCAGAUAUGAUUGACGGGGCCCUGAAGCGGUUGCCGUUAACCUUGCAGUGCCUAGACACUGCUGGUUUAUAUCUUCUUGAUGAUGGCUUCACCUUCCUAGUAUGGUUGGGUAGGAUGCUCCAACCUGAGCUCAUGAACGACAUUCUUGGAGUCAGCCUCUCAAACUUCCCUGAUCUAUCAAAGGUACCCUUCUUUACUCUUUGGUAAAUAAUAUAGUCCUGACCUUGGGACUUAUACUUCAUUACUCUUUCCGUCCUUCAAUUUUUUUGACUUUCUUAAACAAAAUUCAAAUAAAUUAACAGUGUAUCAUAUGCCAUUUCUCCUUUUUUUAGGAAGUUCUUAAAAAUACCUCUGAUAUGCUCUGGGAUCAGAAUCUAUAAAAGGCUUACUGUUAGCAUGUAAUACAACUUCACUUUGGAUUUGUGCUUGUUGCUGACAUGGGGUAAUCUUGCAGAUUCAGUUGAGAGAAUGUGACAACAAUCACUCGAGAAACUUCAUGGCAGUACUAAGAGCCCUAAGGGAGAGGGAUUCUUCAUGUUACCAGCUGCCCCGUGUGGUACGGCAAGGCGAGCAGCCAAGAGAAGGCUUCCUACUUCUGUCCAACCUCGUCGAGGAUCAGAUGGCAGGAACAAGCAGUUACAUGGACUGGAUACUCCAAAUUCACCGCCAAACACAGAGCUCGUGAUGAUGUACGGCGGAUGUUCCAGAAAUUUUUGUUUUUGUGUAAACUGCUGCAGAUUCGGCUGCUGUGCCAGUCCCCGGUCGCCCUCAUAACCAUUGGAACAAAAAAUGGCGAGCCAGCCGUGUUCUACAAAUGCCAUCCUGUUAGCAGCAGCAGCACUCUCGCUGUCGGCGAGCAAUACAAACUUUAUUGUUAAUAUUUCGUUCUUGUGAUUAUUUUUCGUGACGAGAAAAGGAUACACAGCUGUUGUACCAGAAUAAGUAGGCAGCACCUUUGGUAAAUUGUACAAGCGUUUGGAGUCUUUGGUAGGGGUUUGUACGCAUUUGUAUCGUCGACAAUUUUUAGUUGCAAAGAUUGUGUAAACUCUUGUUUCACUGUUGGUAUUGAUCUGGCUGCAAUAGGAAGCACCUUUUUACUCAUGUUUUGGUACUGAUCUGGAUUCAAGAUGUCAUAUUUCUUUUUGUUGGAAAUAAGUACAAAAUGCAUACAUGAUACAUGCAAGCAGAGGCCAG
rnacentral:lncRNA from 1 species